rnacentral:rRNA from 1 species
GAUGAACGCUGGCGGCGUGCCUAAUACAUGCAAGUCGAGCGAACAGACGAGGAGCUUGCUCCUCUGACGUUAGCGGCGGACGGGUGAGUAACACGUGGAUAACCUACCUAUAAGACUGGGAUAACUUCGGGAAACCGGAGCUAAUACUGGAUAAUAUAUUGAACCGCCUGGUUCAAUAGUGAAAGACGGUUUUGCUGUCACUUAUAGAUGGAUCCGCGCCGCAUUAGCUAGUUGGUAAGGUAACGGCUUACCAAGGCAACGAUGCGUAGCCGACCUGAGAGGGUGAUCGGCCACACUGGAACUGAGACACGGUCCAGACUCCUACGGGAGGCAGCAGUAGGGAAUCUUCCGCAAUGGGCGAAAGCCUGACGGAGCAACGCCGCGUGAGUGAUGAAGGUCUUCGGAUCGUAAAACUCUGUUAUUAGGGAAGAACAAAUGUGUAAGUAACUAUGCACGUCUUGACGGUACCUAAUCAGAAAGCCACGGCUAACUACGU